CAGAGUCUUUGAUAGAGGAAAAAGCUGAGUAUUAUGAUGAUGCGAAAACUACCAGUGACCUGACAGAGGAGAUGCUGACACUGGACUCUCCAGAGAGCUAUGAUGAUGUCAUCACUUCAGGACAGAACCCAGACAGUGUGAUGGAGGAAAAUGUGACAGAGGCUCCACCAGAGCGCUAUGAUGAUGUCAUCACUGUAGGGAGGAAGUCUGGAAGUG